rnacentral:rRNA from 1 species
CACGUAGGGGCGAGCGUUGUCCGGAAUUACUGGGCGUAAAGAGCUCGUAGGUGGUUUGUCGCGUCGGGGUCUGUGAAAUUCCGGGGCUUAACUUCGGGCGUGCAGGCGAUACGGGCAAUACUUGAGUGCUGUAGGGGAGACUGGAAUUCCUGGUGUAGCGGUGAAAUGCGCAGAUAUCAGGAGGAACACCAAUGGCGAAGGCAGGUCUCUGGGCAGUUACUGACGCUGAGGAGCGAAAGCAUGGGUAGCGAACAGGAUUAGAUACCCGU